rnacentral:rRNA from 2 species
GACGAACGCUGGCGGCGUGCUUAACACAUGCAAGUCGAACGGUGAUGAAAGAGCUUGCUUUUUCUGAUCAGUGGCGAACGGGUGAGUAACACGUGAGUAACCUGCCCCAGACUCUGGGAUAACCUCGGGAAACCGGGGCUAAUACCGGAUACGCGACUCCACCGCAUGGUGAGGGUUGGGAAAGUUUUUCGGUCUGGGAUGGACUCGCGGCCUAUCAGCUUGUUGGUGAGGUAAUGGCUCACCAAGGCGACGACGGGUAGCCGGCCUGAGAGGGCGACCGGCCACACUGGAACUGAGACACGGUCCAGACUCCUACGGGAGGCAGCAGUGGGGAAUAUUGCACAAUGGGCGCAAGCCUGAUGCAGCGACGCCGCGUGGGGGAUGAAGGCCUUCGGGUUGUAAACCCCUUUCAGCAGGGAAGAAGCGAAAGUGACGGUACCUGCAGAAGAAGCGCCGGCUAACUACGUGCCAGCAGCCGCGGUAAUACGUAGGGCGCAAGCGUUGUCCGGAAUUAUUGGGCGUAAAGAGCUCGUAGGCGGUCUGUCGCGUCUGCUGUGAAAUCCCGAGGCUCAACCUCGGGCCUGCAGUGGGUACGGGCAGACUAGAGUGUGGUAGGGGAGACUGGAAUUCCUGGUGUAGCGGUGGAAUGCGCAGAUAUCAGGAGGAACACCGAUGGCGAAGGCAGGUCUCUGGGCCACAACUGACGCUGAGGAGCGAAAGCGUGGGGAGCGAACAGGAUUAGAUACCCUGGUAGUCCACGCCGUAAACGGUGGGCACUAGAUGUGGGGCUCUUUCCAUGAGUUCCGCGUCGCAGCUAACGCAUUAAGUGCCCCGCCUGGGGAGUACGGCCGCAAGGCUAAAACUCAAAGGAAUUGACGGGGGCCCGCACAAGCGGCGGAGCAUGCGGAUUAAUUCGAUGCAACGCGAAGAACCUUACCAAGGCUUGACAUAUACCCUCUAUCCCCAGAGAUGGGGAGUGCUUCGGCGGGGUAUACAGGUGGUGCAUGGUUGUCGUCAGCUCGUGUCGUGAGAUGUUGGGUUAAGUCCCGCAACGAGCGCAACCCUCGUCCUAUGUUGCCAGCACGUGAUGGUGGGGACUCAUUGGAGACUGCCGGGGUCAACUCGGAGGAAGGUGGGGAUGACGUCAAAUCAUCAUGCCCCUUAUGUCUUGGGCUUCACGCAUGCUACAAUGGCCGGUACAAUGGGCUGCGAUACCGUAAGGUGGAGCGAAUCCCAAAAAGCCGGUCUCAGUUCGGAUUGAGGUCUGCAACUCGACCUCAUGAAGUCGGAGUCGCUAGUAAUCGCAGAUCAGCAACGCUGCGGUGAAUACGUUCCCGGGCCUUGUACACACCGCCCGUCAAGUCACGAAAGUCGGUAACACCCGAAGCCAGUGGCCCAACUCGUAAGAGGGGGAGCUGUCUAAGGUGGGAUUGGCGAUUGGGACUAAGUCGUAACAAGGUAGCCGUACCGGAAGGUGC